rnacentral:rRNA from 1 species
AACGAACGCUGGCGGCGUGCCUAACACAUGCAAGUCGAACGAGAAAGGGGCUUCGGCUCCGAGUAAAGUGGCGCACGGGUGAGUAACACGUGGGUAACCUGCCUCUAAGAUUGGGAUAACUCGUCGAAAGAUGAGCUAAUACCGAAUAAGACCACAGUUCCCGCGGGAACAGGGGUCAAAGGUAGCCUCUGCUUGCAAGCUAUCACUUAGAGAUGGGCCUGCGCACCAUUAGCUAGUUGGUAGGGUAACGGCCUACCAAGGCAAAGAUGGUUAGCUGGUCUGAGAGGAUGAUAAGCCACACUGGAACUGAGACACGGUCCAGACUCCUACGGGAGGCAGCAGUGGGGAAUAUUGCGCAAUGGGCGAAAGCUUGACGCAGCAACGCCGCGUGAGUGAUGAAGGCCUUCGGGUCGUAAAGCUCUGUCGGGAGGAACGAAUGCUCCUGAGGUUAACAGCCUCGGGAGGUGACGGUACCUUCAAAGGAAGCACCGGCUAACUCUGUG